rnacentral:rRNA from 1 species
UACGUAGGGUGCAAGCGUUAUUCGGAAUUACUGGGCGUAAAGCGUGCGCAGGCGGUUUUGCAAGACAGAGGGGAAAUCCCCGGGCUUAACCUGGGAAUGGCCUUUGUGACUGCACGGCUAGAGUGUGUCAGAGGGGGGUAGAAUUCCACGUGUAGCAGUGAAAUGCGUAGAGAUGUGGAGGAAUACCGAUGGCGAAGGCAGCCCCCUGGGAUAACACUGACGCUCAUGCACGAAAGCGUGGGGAGCAAACGGG